GGGCCUGUAGCUUAGUGGCAGAGCAAUCGGUUUGCAUCCGAUAGAUGGGGGUCCGAUUCCCCCCAGGUCCA
rnacentral:tRNA from 1 species